GACGAACCACCCAAACGUUAUUCGGAAUUACUGGGCUUAAAGGGUGCGUAGGCGGCGCGGAAAGUCAGAUGUGAAAUCCCUCGGCUCAACCGAGGAACUGCGUUUGAAACUACCGUGCUCGAGUGAGACAGAGGUAAGCGGAACUUCGGGUGGAGCGGUGAAAUGCGUUGAUAUCCGAAGGAACACCGGUGGCGAAAGCGGCUUACUGGGUCUUUUCUGACGCUGAUGCACGAAAGCUAGGGGAGCAAACGGG
rnacentral:rRNA from 1 species